ACAGAGUGGGAAUAAAAUGCAGGUAUCACUUGAAGUGAAAAGCUUGAUUUGACAGCAUUUCAGACGAAGUGAAACGGGUUGAAAUAGGUAGAAUUUACUUGGUUUCCUGCCAAAAUCCUGCCACAAAAAGAGCCAUAUACUCAUAGCAGAUUGCUU
rnacentral:sRNA from 1 species